AUGGGAGCUGGUAUUGGAACCACUGAUGGAGCUGCUGUGUUUAGUGAUUUUCGCGAGUUGUGACAUCGAGGAUUGAAAUUGUAGAUAAAUGCUUUUGCCAUGACAUAAUGGAACAGAUUGUUGAUUCUUUGGAAAGAGUGGCAAGUGAAACAAAUGAUGCAUGGUGCAUUUCUACCCUAAAUAGACUUAAAGAAGCUUCGCCAUUGAGCUUGAAGGUUUCCCUGAGAUCAGUGAGUUUCUUUUUCUUGUCAAAACUCAUUUGAGUUCUUGAUUACUAUGCU